rnacentral:rRNA from 1 species
UACGGGGGGGGCAAGCGUUGUUCGGAAUUACUGGGCGUAAAGGGCGCGUAGGCGGCCAACUAAGUCGGAUGUGAAAUCCCCAGGCUUAACCUGGGAACUGCAUCCGAUACUGGAUGGCUUGAAUCCGGGAGAGGGAUGCAGAAUUCCAGGUGUAGCGGUGAAAUGCGUAGAUAUCGGAAGGAACACCAGUGGCGAAGGCGGCUUCCUGGUCCAGCACCGACGUUCAGGCACGAAAGCGUGGGGAGCAAACAGG